CAAGCCCUUUUUAGCUAUGGUGGCGGUGGCGACUGCUUUUUUGGAGGUGACUGGAGAUGAUCUGGCCCUGACCCUAUCCAAGUCCAUCCUGGGCCUUGGAGACUUCCAGCUGGUGGCUGUGGACAGAUGAGGACCGUGAGGGCCGGGAGGUUUCAUCACGGAGGGUUUGCGGGGCUCCGGUCUUGUGCGGGUCCCGCCUUAAGGGACGUGUGCGGGAGGCCGAGGAAAAAUGUUGCCUUGCCGGGCCCUGGGAGCACGUGACCGGGACCCCGUGACCCGGCGGCUUGGAAGCUCACAACCACCACCUCUGCUUUGCUGGCACCUGGACUGAUGCCCUGUUCUCUCCCUAGUGGAGGAGCCCGGGGAUGGAGGGAACCUCGUGGGUGAAGCUGAGGCCUGCCACGUGAAGGACUAUCUUCUGCAAGAUGAAUGGGAAUAGGCUGAACCUGCCUCUUAAUGCAUGGGGCUAAUAAACCAACUUGUUUCAGGUGGUGAUCAUUGACUGGCUCCCAGCAAUUGUGACUUUCUUUGAUGGACUGGAAUUGGUUUAGACCUUUCAUCAGCUUUGUGAAGGGGACAGUGGGGGAAUCUGGAGAAUGGAACUUCUUCAAGAUGUCAGUCACCUCUUGGACUUCAAAACCAUUAAAUGAUGCUUAAUAAACCUUAUUUUUACAAAAAUA